rnacentral:lncRNA from 10 species
CCUAGUUCUGGGUGGUAUAGGGGUGCCCCGAGCCCAUCUGAGGGGAGCCCCUCCUCAUGCAUCUUCUGUAUUUUCAGGUCAUAACACAAACUGCGAUGUGGGGCCUCUCUGUUGGGCUGCUGGUGUUCAGGGAACCCUGAUGGGUGGCCCGCCCUCACCUCCCUCGCUGCCUUUCCUCCCCACCCCAAGCCCUCUGUGCCACUAGACAGUGCAUGAGUCAAGAGCAAGUCGAAGAUGAAGCCAGAACACAGCAUGUUGGAAUGCAGAUGGGAAGGUGAGCAAGCUUGGACCAUGAAGACAAAGGCAACACCCGAGAGAUGGAGCAGCUUCAAGUUGAAGGGAGCCUGAGGCCGUGGCUCGCCUCUGUAGUCCCAGCACUUUGGAAGGCCAAGGUGGGCAGAUCUCUUGAGCCCUGGAGUUUGAGACCAGCCUGG